GCUAAUUUGGCAGAUUUAAGUGCUUUAAAUUUAGAAUUUAAUAAUGUAUUUUUACAGUUAGUA
rnacentral:tRNA from 1 species